UCUCCGUAGGUGAACCUGCGGAGGGAUCACUACAGGCUUGCAAAAGCUCUGAAACCACUGUUUAUCUACCUGAAUCUGCUUCGGCGGGCGGCCCCAGGGCGGGGCCGUAGCCGCGAGGCGCCCGCCGAAGACCCCCAAACCCUGUCGUCUUGAGAAUCUCUGAGUAUCAUAUUAAACAGAAAACAACUUUCAACAACGGAUCUCUUGGCUCUG
rnacentral:misc_RNA from 1 species